rnacentral:misc_RNA from 1 species
GAUGAAGAACGUAGUGAAAUGCGACAAGUAAUGUGAAUUGCAGAAUUCAGUGAAUCAUCGAAUCUUUGAACGCACAUUGCGCCCGCUAGUAUUCUGGCGGGCAUGCCUGUCCGAGCGUCAUUUCAACCCUCAAGCCCCCGGGCUUGGUGUUGGGGAUCGGCGAGCCUCCGCGCCCGCCGUCCCCUAAAUCUAGUGGCGGUCUCGCUGUAGCUUCCUCUGCGUAGUAGCACACCUCGCACUGGGAAACAGCGCGGCCACGCCGUUAAACCCCCAACUUCUGAACGUUUGACCUCGGAUCAGGUAGGAAUACCCGCUGAACUUAAGCAUAUCAAUAAGCGGAGGA